rnacentral:rRNA from 1 species
GAUGAACGCUGGCGGCGUGCCUAAUACAUGCAAGUCGAGCGAACAGACGAGCAGCUUGCUCCUCUGACGUUAGCGGCGGACGGGUGAGUAACAGGUAGAUAAACUACCUAUAAGACUGAGAUAACUUCGAGAAACCGGAGCUAAUACCAGAUACUAUAUUGAACCGCAUAGUUCAAUAGUAAGGGACUGUUUUGCUGUCGCUUAUAGAUGGAUCCGCGCCGCAUUAGCUAGUUGGUAAGGUAACGGCUUACCAAGGCAACGAUGCGUAGCCGACCUGAGAGGGUGAUAGGCCACACUAGAACUGAGACACGGUCCAGACUACUACGGGAGGCAGCAGUAGGGAAUCUUCCGCAGUGGGCGAAAGCCUGACGGAACAACGCCGCGUGAGUUAUGAAAGUCUUCGGAUCGUAAAACUCUGUUACUAGGGAAGAACAAAUGUGUAAGUAACUAUGCACGUCUUGACGGUACCUAAUCAGAAAGCCACGGCUAACUACGUG